rnacentral:rRNA from 1 species
UCCCUGCAUCUCUCUAAGAUUAGCCAUGCAUGUGUAAGUAUAAGCGAUUGUACUGUGAGACUGCGAACGGCUCAUUAUAUCAGUAAUAAUUUCUUCGGUAGUUUCUUUUAUAUGGAUACCUGCAGUAAUUCUGGAAAUAAUACAUGCUGUAAGAGCCCUGUAUGGGGCUGCACUUAUUAAAUUGAAGCCGAUUUUAUUGGUGAAUCAUGAUAAUUGAGCAAAUUGACUUUUUUUGCCAAAAAACCCUUUGGAUUUUUCCCCCCUCCAUUUCCCCCGGGAGGGUUUUGGAAUCCGGGGACCUAAACGGGGGACGGAAAAUUUGGGCCCCCCCCCGGAAAGGGAACCCGAAAAACGGCUCCCCAUUCCAAGGAAAAAAACCGGGCCCUAAAUUUCCCCCUUGGGAUCCCCCAAGGGAAGGGCAAAAAAAUUUCAUGGAAAAGGGGUUUGCCUUUUUUUUUCGAAAAAGAAACAAGUGAAAACCCCCCCCCAGAAACAACUGGGGGGGAAAUUUGGGGCCCAAACCCCCGGAAAUUCCCCCCCCCAAAACCAUUUUUAAAUUUUUUUCCAUUAAAAAACCCCCAAUUAAAUUUUUGGGUUGGGCAACCCGGGUUUUCCCGAAAAGGGAAUUAAUUUUUUUGUUUCCCUUGGCCCCCUUUUCUUUUCCUUUUUUGGGAAAAAAUCUUUCCCUGGAAAAAAAACAAAAUGUUCCAAGCGGGGCCAAAAACCGGAUUUUUAUUAAUGGAAAAAAAAAAAAGAACCUGGGGGCCAUUUUGGGGGUUUUCCCCCCUCAAAAAAAGAUAAAAAGAGACCAUUUGGGGGUUUUUCUUUCUUUAGGAACUUAAAGGGAAAAUUUUUUGUAUUUUUUACAAAAAACAUACAAAAACCCAAAGGCUUUUUUCAAUUUUUUGUUUUUUUUUUAAUUCAAAAAACAAAAUCCGGGGGGUUCCAAGUAACUUAUUUAAACCCCCUUUUUUAUCUCAUCCCCUUUACUCCCCCUCCC